GUUGGGUAUAAACCCGGGAAACUGGGUAUAAUACCCGAUAGGUCUCGAUUGCUGGAAUGCAUCGAGAUUUAAAGCUCCGGCGCCUAAGGAUGGGUCUGCGGCCUAUCAGGUAGUAGUGGGUGUAGCGUACCUACUAGCCUACGACGGGUACGGGUUGUGAGAGCAAGAGCCCGGAGAUGGAUUCUGAGACACGAAUCCAGGCCCUACGGGGUGCAGCAGGCGCGAAAACUUUACAAUGCUGGCAACAGCGAUAAGGGAACCUCGAGUGCCAGGUUACAAAUCUGGCUGUCGAGAUGCCUAAAAAGCAUUUCAUAGCAAGGGCCGGGCAAGACCGGUGCCAGCCGCCGCGGUAACACCGGCGGCUCGAGUGGUAACCGUUAUUAUUGGGUCUAAAGGGUCUGUAGCCGGCCGGAUAAGUCUCUUGAGAAAUCUGGCAGCUUAACUGUCAGGCUUUCAGGAGAUACUGUCUGGCUCGGGGCCGGGAGAGGUGAGAGGUACUUCAGGGGUAGGGGUGAAAUCUUGUAAUCCUUGAAGGACCACCAGUGGCGAAGGCGUCUCACCAGAACGGACCUGACGGCAAGGGACGAAAGCUAGGGGCACGAACCGGAUUAGAUACCCGGGUAGUCCCAGCUGUAAACGAUGCAGACUAGGUGUUUGGACGGCCACGUGCCGUUCUAGUGCCGCAGGGAAGCUGUUAAGUCUGCCGCCUGGGGAGUACGAUCGCAAGAUUGAAACUUAAAGGAAUUGGCGGGGGAGCACCACAAGGGGUGGAGCUUGCGGUUUAAUUGGAGUCAACGCCGGGA
rnacentral:rRNA from 1 species